rnacentral:rRNA from 1 species
UCAUGGCUCAGGAUGAACGCUAGCGGCAGGCUUAACACAUGCAAGUCGAGGGUAGAGAAGCUUGCUUCCUUGAGACCGGCGCACGGGGUGCGUAACGCGUAUGCAAUCUACUUAUACAGGGGGAUAGCCCAGAGAAAUUUGGAUUAAUACCCCAUAGUAUAAUUGAAUGGCAUCAUUUAAUUAUUAAAGUUCCAACGGUAUAAGAUGAGCAUGCGUCCCAUUAGCUAGUUGGUGUGGUAACGGCACACCAAGGCGACGAUGGUAGGGGUCCUGAGAGGGAGAUCCCCCACACUGGUACUGAGACACGGACCAGACUCCUACGGGAGGCAGCAGUGAGGAAUAUUGGUCAAUGGGCGCAAGCCUGAACCAGCCAUGCCGCGUGCAGGAUGACGGUCCUAUGGAUUGUAAACUGCUUUUGUACAGGAAGAAACACUCCCUCGUGAGGGAGCUUGACGGUACUGUAAGAAUAAGGAUCGGCUAACUCCGUG